GCGGUAAUUCCAGCUCCAAUAGCGUGUAUGAUGAUUGAUGCAGUUAAAAAGUCCGUAGUUUAUAUUUAAGAAGCAAUAUGAGGUGUACUGUAUAGUUGGGAGAAAGAUGAAAUGUAACGACCCUGACUGGACGAACAGAAGCGAAAGCUGUACACUUGUAUGUAUUUUUUGAACAAGGACGUAAGCUGGAGGAGCGAAGAUGAUUAGAUACCAUUGUAGUUCCAGCAGUAAACUAUGCCGACGAUGUGAUAUGAUAUAUUUUGUAUUACAUAAUAGAAAUUAGAGUUUUUUGGCACUGGGGAUAGUAUGAUCGCAAGAUUGAAAAUUAAAGAAAUUGACGGAAGAAUACCACAAGGAGUGGAUUGUGCGGCUUAAUUUGACUCAACACGGGGUAACUUACCAAUAUUUUAUUAUUUGAGACGAUUUUUAAUCAGAGAAUGAUAAUAGUGGUGCAUGGCCGUUUUCAAUGGAUGCUGUGAAGUUUUGAUUAAUUUCAACAAGACGUGAGACCCUUUUAUUUAUAGACAGACACAAUCAGUGUAGGAAGGAAAGGAUUAAAACAGGUCCGUUAUGCCCUCAGACAUUUUGGGCUGCACGCGCAAUACAAUAGAUAUAUAAUCUUUAUGGGAUAAUAUUUUGUAAGAGAUAUUUGAACUUGGAAUUGCUAGUAAAUUUUAUUAAAUAAGUAGAAUUGAAUGUGUCCCUGUUCUUUGUACACACCGCCCGUCGCUAUCUAAGAUGAUAUAUGUUGUGAAAUUAGUGAAAACUACUUGAACAAUAUGUAUUAGAUCUGAUAUAAGUCGUAACAUGGUUUCCGUAGGUGAACCUGCG
rnacentral:rRNA from 2 species